GACGAACGCUGGCGGCGUGCUUAACACAUGCAAGUCGAACGGAAAGGCCCUGCUUUUGUGGGGUGCUCGAGUGGCGAACGGGUGAGUAACACGUGAGUAACCUGCCCUUGACUUUGGGAUAACUUCAGGAAACUGGGGCUAAUACCGGAUAGGAGCUCCUGCUGCAUGGUGGGGGUUGGAAAGUUUCGGCGGUUGGGGAUGGACUCGCGGCUUAUCAGCUUGUUGGUGGGGUAGUGGCUUACCAAGGCUUUGACGGGUAGCCGGCCUGAGAGGGUGACCGGCCACAUUGCGACUGAGAUACGGCCCAGACGCCUACGGGAGGCAGCAGUGGGGAAUAUUGCACAAUGGGCGGAAGCCUGAUGCAGCAACGCCGUGUGCGGGAUGACGGCCUUCGGGUUGUAAACCGCUUUCGACUGUGACGAAGCGUGAGUGACGGUAAUGGGUAAAGAAGCACCGGCUAACUACGUG
rnacentral:rRNA from 1 species